rnacentral:lncRNA from 1 species
GAUCUGCGGCGGGAAUAGGGGCUUCUACUCAGACCCAAGACUCUCGUAACCCGACAGCGCCUUGGAGCCUAAAUCUAAGCACGAUUCAGACAGGACGCUCGUCGCGUCUUGCCAGAGCCCCAACCACGGAUUGCGAACUCUGCCCGAGCUAGGGGCCGCCUGCUGCUCCCUGGACCUUGCUGACCCGGAUCUCGGAGCAAGUACCUUGGGAUCAGAGGGCCCUAUCCCUCUUCAUCCCCACAGGACCCACCACCCCAGAGGCAGCCUGAUGAGGGAAGAAGGGGAAAGCGGGGCACGUUCAGCCAUUUCUUCUCACCCGUCCUUUCUAUCCUUCGUUCAGCAUAGGGGGGCCAGCAUAUGGGUGAGGGGGUACUCCCUGGGGCUUGAGCUGCCCCGCACAGGAUGCCCCGUGCCCCCCACUCCAUGCCCUUGC